rnacentral:rRNA from 1 species
UACGUAGGGGGCAAGCGUUAUCCGGAUUUACUGGGUGUAAAGGGAGCGUAGACGGCUGCGCAAGACAGAAGUGAAAGCCCGGGGCUCAACCGCGGGACUGCUUUUGAAACUGUGUAGCUAGAGUGCAGGAGAGGUAAGUGGAAUUCCUAGUGUAGCGGUGAAAUGCGUAGAUAUUAGGAGGAACACCGGUGGCGAAGGCGGCUUACUGGACUGUAACUGACGUUGAGGCUCGAAAGCGUGGGGAGCAAACAGG